rnacentral:rRNA from 1 species
CUACGCACUCCUACGGGAGGCAGCAGUGGGGAAUAUUGCACAAUGGGCGCAAGCCUGAUGCAGCCAUGCCGCGUGUAUGAAGAAGGCCUUCGGGUUGUAAAGUACUUUCAGCAGUGAGGAAGGUGGGUAUGUUAAUAGCAUACUCAUUUGACGUUAGCUGCAGAAGAAGCACCGGCUAACUCCGUGCCAGCAGCCGCGGUAAUACGGAGGGUGCGAGCGUUAAUCGGAAUUACUGGGCGUAAAGCGCAUGCAGGUGGUUUGUUAAGUCAGAUGUGAAAGCCCGGGGCUCAACCUCGGAAUUGCAUUUGAAACUGGCAAACUAGAGUACUGUAGAGGGGGGUAGAAUUUCAGGUGUAGCGGUGAAAUGCGUAGAGAUCUGAAGGAAUACCGGUGGCGAAGGCGGCCCCCUGGACAGAUACUGACACUCAGAUGCGAAAGCGUGGGGAGCAAACAGGAUUAGAUACCCUGGUAG